GAGAGAGAGAGAGAGAGAGAGAGAGAGAGAGAGAGAGAGAGAGAGAGAGAGAGAGAGCGCCAGAUGAAAGGGUAGCGAAGGAGGGGUGAACCCCACUCGAGCGCGCGGGGGGAUGGGGAGAGGGGGAAAGGGGAGCGAGGUUUGGGGAAUGAAUCAUACACCUUCCCCUCCUCUUCCCUGCUGUCUCUCUCUAUCACUUCCCUUCUCCGCCGCCUCCCCUUCGCCCCCUUUCCGUUGCAACCCUCCCCCACCAAAGGGAAGUGGCCCUUAACGCCUCUUGUCCCAGUGAUCAAUUUAGGGUGAUUCACGCAACAAAAUCUGCGCAGGGCCAGUGUGGGUUGCGGCGGCCCGGCUCGGCGCGCAGGCAAGCAGAGACUUCACACGCACCCUCUGAGCACUCAUGGGCGGUAACUCCACUGCUCCGCCACACCUUGUUCGACCAUACCGACGUGAAAGUGUACCAGUGAAAGUGCCGUCCAGGUCAAUGUGCUUCUGUAGGUGCACAUAGGGUUUUUAUCCGCACAUGCAUACACGUUCACACACACACACACACGCACAGGAUACGCGGUGUGUGUGUGAGAGGGGACAUUCUUCAGCAUUCAUCAGAGAUUACCCAAUAUCCUGAGGUAAAGAGGCCUGAGUCUAGGCGAAGUAUCAUUCACCAGAAGAAAAGACAAUAUUCCAUCAGAUGGCACACUGCGAGGGCGUUCGGGGUGGAGACGGCGGUCGAGAGCAGGAAGUCAGCUCGCAAAAGUGGGCUACCGUAAUGUCAGAGUUGCCGUCGAAGCCUUUGAGACAUACUGCUCUUUGCCUCCAUUGGUGAGAUUUGGAAGAGGCGAUUAGGAAAACCUCUCAGACAAAAGUAGCGAUGUUUUCUCUAAUGGAGGAAAACGUUCCUGCAUUUUACUUAUAAACAAUAUGAUAAAUUGAUUAUAAAUGAUAUUUUC